GGCUCCCCGCCCCCCGGCGCUUGGCGCCGGUCCGAGCCCGAGCCGCCUCCGAUUGGCCCGCGGGCCCGUCGCGUCCGGGGACCAGUGCGCACCUUCUGCAGCGUCACAAGCUUCGAGAGGGGGCGCGCAGAGAGGAGGAAAGGGAAGGGAGCCCUCAACUCCAAGGCGGGAAAAGCAGAAUUACCUUCUCUCAAGAACUUUAAACAUCCGAUGGGGACACCCACACCCGGAUAAUACAAGCUGACCCACAGACAGAUGCUCUACAGACAUCACCGUGAGGCCAGGAUUUGCCCCUUACACACGUCCGAUGUGUCAGCGAAACGCUGCGUUUCAAAAUUGUUUAUCCUCUCUCUGUGACUCACAGUCGGGUGCUGACUAAGCCCCUCUUGCUAUAGACUAUGUUAACACUCGAGCUUUCUGUUAAUGUUUACAUUGUUGGGUCAUUUUCUUUUCAUUGAAACUCACGCUCACCACCUUUA